UACGUAGGCAGCAAGCGUUGUUCGGAGUUACUGGGCGUAAAGGGUGUGUAGGCGGUUUUCUAAGUCUGGUGUGAAAUCUCCCGGCUCAACUGGGAGGGUGCGCCGAAAACUGGAAGGCUAGAGUGCGGGAUGGGAGAGUGGAAUUCCUGGUGUAGCGGUGAAGUGCGUAGAUAUCAGGAGGAACACCUGUGGUGUAGACGGCUCUCUGGACCGCAACUGACGCUGAGACACGAAAGCGUGGGUAGCAAACAGG
rnacentral:rRNA from 1 species